rnacentral:rRNA from 2 species
AGCAUCUAUACGGUGAAACUGCGAAUGGCUCAUUAAAUCAGUUAUCGUUUAUUUGAUAGUACCUUACUACUUGGAUAACCGUGGUAAUUCUAGAGCUAAUACAUGCUAAAAACCCCGACUUCGGAAGGGGUGUAUUUAUUAGAUAAAAAACCAAUGCCCUUCGGGGCUCCUUGGUGAUUCAUAAUAACUUAACGAAUCGCAUAGCCUUGUGCUGGCGAUGGUUCAUUCAAAUUUCUGCCCUAUCAACUUUCGAUUGUAUGGUAUUGGCUUACAAUGGUUUCAACGGGUAACGGGGAAUUAGGGUUCUAUUCCGGAGAGGGAGCCUGAGAAACGGCUACCACAUCCAAGGAAGGCAGCAGGCGCGCAAAUUACCCAAUCCCGACACGGGGAGGUAGUGACAAUAAAUACUGAUACAGGGCUCUUUUGGGUCUUGUAAUUGGAAUGAGUACAAUUUAAAUCCCUUAACGAGGAACAAUUGGAGGGCAAGUCUGGUGCCAGCAGCCGCGGUAAUUCCAGCUCCAAUAGCGUAUAUUAAAGUUGUUGCAGUUAAAAAGCUCGUAGUUGAACCUUGGGUUUGGUUGGUCGGUCCGCCUCACCGCGUGCACUGAUCCGACCGAAUCUUUCCUUCUGGGGAACCGUAUGCCCUUCACUGGGUGUGCUGGGGAACCAGGACUUUUACUUUGAAAAAAUUAGAGUGUUCAAAGCAGGCCUAUGCUCGAAUACAUUAGCAUGGAAUAAUAGAAUAGGACGUGUGGUUCUAUUUUGUUGGUUUCUAGGACCGCCGUAAUGAUUAAUAGGGAUAGUCGGGGGCAUCAGUAUUCAAUUGUCAGAGGUGAAAUUCUUGGAUUUAUUGAAGACUAACUACUGCGAAAGCAUUUGCCAAGGAUGUUUUCAUUAAUCAGUGAACGAAAGUUAGGGGAUCGAAGACGAUCAGAUACCGUCGUAGUCUUAACCAUAAACUAUGCCGACUAGGGAUCGGGCGGUGUUAUCUUUUUGACCCGCUCGGCACCUUACGAGAAAUCAAAGUCUUUGGGU